CUUCAAAAUGAGAAAGGAUUUUAAUACAAAUAAUGGGGUUAUUUAAUACAUCAAACACGAUCCAGAAAGCUUUUUUUUGUGUAAAACCGUGUUACUGAAUCUAUAUAUAUAUAUAUAUAUAAAUGUAUGAUUCUAAAAAGAGGUCCAUCCAUCCUUUUCUGAUAAAUUUUCGUUACCAGAAAAUGCAACAAAAUGGAAAACAUGGAGAUGAUGACGUGUAAGGCUGUCAUGUCCACGAACGCCACGUAGGAUUCAAAGGAAGAUGGCUGCUGACAUGCCAAAAGCCACGCGUCAUGUCCAUGCAGCACACGUGGGCAUCCCUGCUGCUGACCGGGUCUGCUAUUAUGCUGACGUGGUAGUCUACGUGGCAGGGUAAACACAUGCCUAGUUGGACUUGUAAGCACAAACACACAACAUACAUAUAUAUAUAUAUAUAUAUAUACAUACAUUAGUAACCUUCAAAUUCUCGUCCCUUUCUUGUAUCUCGUUCCUUCCCAACUUUUUUUAUUUCAAGUUUUCCUUAGUUUAAUAUGAAUUGGUUUACUUAACUUUCUAAAUCAGUAGCUUAUUAAUUGGUAUAAAAUAGAUGAUACAUGAGACUUCAUUGCUAUUAUUUAUUAACUUAAUAAUUGAUACACUCGAUAAAAUUUUGAAGCAUGUAGCAUGAAAUGAUUCUAUAAUCUUCUAUUUCUUUAUUGUGUUAUCUUUUUUUUAAUCAUAGAAUGUACUAAGCAAGUUUUUAUUGAUGUUUUAACUUGUAUUCAGUAAUUUUGAGCUCCAUUCUUCUAUUGUUUCAAGAAGUAGAAUAAAAUAGUGAUUAUUUUAAAAAUAGGCUCCAUAACAUUAUUUGUUAUUGUUAUAUUUUUAUUAUUAUUUUAAAAUAAUAAUAAGAAUUAAUUGAAGAUAAAAAUUAAAGAUGUUGUAAAAGCAUGGAUAUUGUAAAGAUCAUUCUACAAGCAAAAAUAUGUCAAAUUAUGAUUUGGUAAAGCCAACUUCAUUUGGAGCCAUCAUGGGUUUGGCUUGAAUAUACAUUCUGAUUUUCAGGUUAGUUUUUAAGACUCCCACGCUGCACUAAUAAUAGGGUGGCAAUAAUACCAUGAAUUAUUCCUCAAACCAUUGAGCAUUUCAAGCCAAAGUGAUAUUUGAAACUGAUACACUGAAACAAUUAGUUCAUAGGCUGUAUACACUGCAUCUAAAUUAAGUGAUUCAGCACGCUUUGUAACUGUUUUAAAAUACAUAUAUUUUACA
rnacentral:lncRNA from 1 species